GAGUUUGAUCUUGGCUCAGGAUUAACGCUAGCGGCAGGCCUAAUACAUGCAAGUCGAGGGGUAACAGGGUAGCAAUACCGCUGACGACCGGCGCACGGGUGCGUAACACGUAUGCAACCUACCUAUAACUGGGGAAUAGCUCUCCGAAAGGAGAAUUAACACCGCAUAACAUCACGAGACGGCAUCGUUUUGUGAUCAAACCUCCGGGGGUUAUAGAUGGGCAUGCGUAACAUUAGCUAGUUGGUGAGGUAACGGCUCACCAAGGCGACGAUGUUUAGGGGGUCUGAGAGGAUGAUCCCCCACACUGGUACUGAGACACGGACCAGACUCCUACGGGAGGCAGCAGUAAGGAAUAUUGGACAAUGGGGGCAACCCUGAUCCAGCCAUGCGCGUGAAGGAUGAAGGCGCUCUGCGUCGUAAACUUCUUUUAGCCGGGAAAAAUUGUUGGGUUUCUACCUGACUUGAUUGUACCGGAAGAAUAAGGAUCGGCUAACUUCGUGCCAGCCGCCGCCGUAAC
rnacentral:rRNA from 1 species